CAUGGUUUGGAUAUUUAAUUCUCUCAUUAUUCAUCUCUGUGGCAGUGUCGUGAAGCUUGCUGCUUGGAAGUCCUUGCGGACAGUAGGCAGAAGAAAGAAGCUUCAGAGAAGGACUUCCUGUUCACAUUGAAGGGAUCCUAUGAACAGAACCAGACCCUGUCACUGGGCUCUUCCCUGCAACACCCAAGGCCUCUUAUCUUCCAUUAUCUCAAAUAUGGUCUGGGAGAGCUGUGUAUGGCUCUGGCAGAAAAGAAGCCACGCUUCUUCUUGUGUACCUCAGGUGAAGAGAAAAAAAACCGUGUUGCAUCCCUCACCAUUCCUCUGGAUUCACUUCCCUUCAAGGAGAAAAUAGCAGUGGCAGAGGUGAUUGAAAAUAACCCUUUAGAAUAAAUCUGAGGCUGUGAUCCCA
rnacentral:lncRNA from 1 species